AUUGAACGCUGGCGGCAUGCUUUACACAUGCAAGUCGAACGGUAACAGGCCUUCGGGUGCUGACGAGUGGCGAACGGGUGAGUAAUGCAUCGGAACGUGCCCAAUCGUGGGGGAUAACGUAGCGAAAGUUACGCUAAUACCGCAUAAGCCCUGAGGGGGAAAUGGGGGACCGCAAGGCCUCGCGCGAUAGGAGCGGCCGAUAUCGGAUUAGCUAGUUGGUGAGGUAAAGGCUCACCAAGGCGACGAUCCGUAGCGGGUCUGAGAGGACGACCCGCCACACUGGAACUGAGACACGGUCCAGACUCCUACGGGAGGCAGCAGUGGGGAAUUUUGGACAAUGGGGGCAACCCUGAUCCAGCCAUUCCGCGUGAGUGAAGAAGGCCUUCGGGUUGUAAAGCUCUUUCAGCAGGAACGAAACGGUGAGGGUUAAUACCCUUUACUAAUGACGGUACCUGAAGAAGAAGCACCGGCUAACUACGUG
rnacentral:rRNA from 1 species